rnacentral:rRNA from 1 species
AUGAGUUGUUUUCAGUCGCUAAGAAAACGUGCCAGAAACCUGACUUUGACCUCCUCGAAAUUCUGGUGGGGUGCAACGAAUGGUGAAAGGAAAGUGCAUUCGGUCUCAUGGCAAAAAAUGUGUGCAACAAAGAGGGUACGAGGACUCGGGUUCCGUGACGACCCAGAGGCGUUCAAUCAAGCUUUGCUUGCGAAACAAGCUUGGAGAAUUUUGCAAGACCCAGCCUCCUUGUGUGCGCGGGUUCUCAAAGCAUGCUAUUUCAAGGACAAAAUGGUUAUGUCGGCAACCUUCCCGGCUAAUGCAUCCUACACUUACCGAAGUGUGCUACAUGGUAGAGAUCUUCUUCGUGAAGGAGUGAUUUGGCGCAUAGGGGAUGGUUCAAAGGUGCAUAUACACCAUGAUAACUGGAUACCGAGGGGUGGAAGUAUGACACCACUUGGUCAAAUCUUCAUACCAGGAGUGACGCGUGUGGCAGACGCGCUCACAGCCGACGGACGCGUGUGGGAUUCAUCUAAGGUAAACGCGAUGUUCAGUCCGAGUGACGUGCAUGAUAUUUAG